UAGAGCCUCGCAAGUCGCUAUUCCGGUCUCGUUUCUAGGUUUUCUGGUUUCCUUUCUUCUGCAGUUGUACGGCGCCUAGGGUUCGCGUGCUGGACCUUCCUGCCAUGGGGCGAUACGGAUACCGCAGUCACAGCAGAAGCUACAGCCCGCGGCGUUACAGCCGUAGCCCUCCACGCCGGAAGCGCUACGAUGACCCCCGUGACCGAUACCGUGGAGGCGGCGGUGGGGGACGGGAGUAUAGGGACUAUCGCUCCGCUUCCUCCGGACUCCUCAUCCGCAACAUUGCUCUCGACGCCAGGCCUGAAGAUCUACGGAUUCCAUUUGAACGGUUUGGUCCAGUGAAAGAUGUCUACCUUCCAAAGAAUUACUAUACAGGGGAGCCACGUGGCUUUGGAUUUGUUAAAUUUCGCCAUGCAGAAGAUGCUGCCGUAGCUAAGCAACAUAUGAAUCGUCAGAUUAUUGGCGGCCGUGAAAUUUCAAUUGUCUAUGCAGAAGAAAAUAGGAAAACUCCUCAAGAGAUGCGCAUGACGGCAAGGGUUAGUGAAAGAUAUAUGGGAGGAAGAAACAGGCGGUCCAUGUCAAGAUCUCCCAAACGACAAUAUCAUUCAUAUUCUCAUUCUCCUAGUCCUCCCAAGCAUGGUUCAAGAUUGUAAAAGUGAAUCGAGUAUGUAAAGAAUCAAAGGUUUAGUAAAAAAGGAAAGUGGAAGCGGGCGUAAAGUUGUUGUUCGCUUAUUGAUCACCUAAUUUGAAAGCUAUGAAGAAAUUUCAGUUUGUCUUCGUUUUCAACUGAAAAUCACUGAUUAUACAUGACUUGGUAGAAAUACAAGUCCAUUUUAGACUUUCCUUUCCCUCGAUAGAAAUAACUUUCAGUUCAUGUUUUGUUCUCUUAAUUGGCUGUUUGAUUGUUUUAUACUAUCCAGUUAAAAAAAAAGAAAUUAGAGCUUUCAAAGUUGAAAGAGAGAUUCAUGAAAAGAGCCUAAAGGGAAAUUACCAUGAUUUCCUGUGAUGAGGGUAUAAUCUUCUUGAUGGUGGGGUCAUGUGUGAUGAAAGUAAGAUAAUUUUGGCCUAAGAGAGUUGAUUCAAAGAGCUGUCGAUGCUGUUCAAUAAGCAAGUACACCAAUAAGAGAAAAAAACAUUGCUACCAUAUAUUUUCAGGAGUUGUGAUAUGUUCCAGGGACAAUGGAAGGGGCAGCCGUGAUUACUACUCUCUGCCUAGAUCAGUUUCUCCAUCUCUUCACAAUGGUAGGGAGUAUGGGUCGCCUGAUGUUAGG